ACUUCCCACCGGAUGCGGGGCUCGGCAGGCUCGGCAGGCUCCUCCGCAGGCCACACAGCCGGCGGCACAGGCCUCCUGCGGGGAACCCCACCCCACCGGCCAGCCCGGUGCUCUGCCCUCUCUGGGGGUCCCGACCACUGUCUCCCUCCACACCCAAGAAGGGGAGCCUGGUCUUGUCUUUCCAGCUGCCCCCACCUGUCCUCCCUCUGGGGCUUCCUUUCCAUCUGAACUGGAUUCAGAGGACACAGAGUUCCCCAGCUUUCUCCGCUUUUGAUGCCCUAUCUGGUCCUCAAGCUGUUUUUGUUUUGUUUUGUUUUGUUUCGUUUCGUUUCGUUUUGUUUGAGAUGGAGUUUCGGUCUUGUUGUCCAGGCUGGAGUGCAGUGGUGCAAUCUUGGCUCACUGCAACCUUCGCCCCCUGGGUUCAAGUGAUUCUCCUGCCUCAGCCUCCCGAGUAGCUGGGAUUACAGGCAUGCACCACCACACCUGGCUAAUUUGUAUUUUUUUUUUUUUUUUUUUAGUAGAGACGGAGUUUCUGCAUGUUGGUCAGGCUGGUCUCAAACUCCCAACCUCAGGUGAGCCGCCCACCUUGGCCUCCCAAAGUGCUGGGAUUACAGGCGUGAGCCGCCGCGCCUGGCCCCUCAAGCUGUUUCGUGGCUGCCAAUGCCAACUGGGAAAAAGACACAGUGGUAGAAAGAAUUAGAGAUGAGACGCAGACUUGAGAAUUCUUUUCAAAUUCAAGAGCAGUAGUUUGUCUCAGGAGAUGCUGGUCCUGUCUCACUGUGAGAAUCCCUAUCAUAGACCUUCCCGGGCAAAGCCCUUUCCCGGGUUCCUGUCUGAGGAGGGAGGUGAAGCCUCUUGGGUCCUCAAGCAGCGAUUCUUACCCUUUCCCUGCCUGGGUCACUGCCCAUCCACAGCUUCCCGGGGAGAACAGUGACGGGAACUAGCUGACCGCUCGGAGCCUCCAGGCCAGUCCCUUUCUGUGAAGACUCACAAGGCCUUACUCGUUGCGUAACAUCCCAAAGCCGUAGUUACGUCAUCUGUAAAAUGGAGAUAAAAAUCCCACUUCACAUGGUUGUUGGGGUGAUUAAAGGAGAUAAUAUAGGCCAGGCAUGGUGGCUCACACCUGUAAUCCCAGCACCUUGGGAGGCCGAGGCAGGCAAAUCACCUGAGGUCGAACCCUGAGGUCGGGAGUUUGAGACCAGCCUGACCAACAUAGAGAAACCCCGUCUCUACUAAAAAUACAAAAUUAUCUGGGCGUGGUGGUGCAUGCCCGUAAUCCCAGCUACCUGGGGGGUUGAGGCAGGAGAAUCACUUGAACCUGGGAGGCGGAGGUUGCAGUGAGCUGAGAUCAUGCCAUUGCACUCCAGCCUGGGUGACAAGAGCAAACCUCCAUCUCAAAAAAAAAAAAAAAAAAAAGAGGAGAUAAUAUAUAAAGUACCUGGCACCCAGCAGGUAUGAUAAAUUGGUCCCCUUAUUUCUGCUGAUGCAGGAAAGCAGAACGCUUGAGAGCAAGGCUGUGGCGGGUGAGGCUGUUCAGUGUGUGCCUGUCUGUUCAGCAGCUGGGUGGAGGCUGAAAUACCACAUGCCCUCCACUCACCCUGUCAAGUGCCGAGGGUGGGGCAUUCUGCACAAAAGCUUUGUCUCUCCUGCACACAGGCACCCUAAGGCUGAGAUUCUGCACAAAAGCUUUGUCUCUCCUGCACACGGGCACCCUAAGGCUGAGCAGCACUCUCUGCCGGGUGACUGCGCCAGCGCCCAGACCACCUGCUGGAGAAAGAAAGCAUGGCACGUUGAAGGCAAGCAUUUGUACUUUGCUCUUUCCUCACAGUUAGACCAGGCUCCCCUCCUCUCCCGCUUGUCCUCAGAGGCCUUGGUGAGGUGGAGAACGGCUGCCAUUGUGAUGGGUUCCCCUUUUCUCAUUGCGGGGGGUCCCUUGAAGGGGGUUGGCCUGCCUGCAUUUGGGCUCUGGUAACCACUCUUCUUCCUAGCAGGCUUCCCAUUGGGGCAAUUUGCAGGGUCCUAAACUCAGAACCUCUACCUUUACAUCCAGGGCCCCCAAGAGGCUCUCUUUAACAUUAUGGACAAACAGCCACACAGGGCCUUUUUUCCCCAGGAAGAAAAGACCAAAUGGAGCUCAAGGCCCAGCUGUCCUGGGAGUGGUGCCUCAGCCGUGGCCCUCUGGGAAGGGGUUUCUGUGCAGGGCUGCCCUGAGGGUUACCCUUUUCCAUCUUCAUUUCUAUCUCACAUAGUAGGCAAGACAACAGACAGGAUUCAGACAAGAUUACAGCUCCAAGGGUUGAUCUGUGUAUUUCCCUUGCACGCUGCUCUCUUGCUGGCACCGAAGGGCACCCCAGUCCAGACUGGUCAGAAACAAACACUCACAGAACCCACAGAGCCAGGGCUAGACACAAAGGCCAGGCAGUGUGCUUGCAAAACGAGACUUUCCUCUCCCAAAGACUAGAAAAAACUAGGCUUGCAGAAGCAGGAAGAGGCCGCUGGACCUGGACGGGAGGACGACACCUGGAUUACUGGGUGUGGCGCCUUCCACCAACAGUGCUGGCCACAUGUGAACAGCACCUGGUAGCCUUGGAGGCUGAAGAAGACCUUAAUAAGAAAUCAAAAACAAAUCAAGGGUUUAUUUUUUAAAACAACAAAAUACCAGCAGCUUCCAGGGACUCCCCUGGAGUCCACACAUGGCCGGUGCAGUCCAACCCCAUUACACGUUUAUGAAAGAACAAUGGAUGUUCAGAAGGAUGACCCUUGAAUCGCUAGGUCAUCGAAUAAAGUUUCUCUUCACUCAGUUGCCAGAAUCCCUAUUUCCUUUGCAUUAUAGUGAAGUGGAGCCUGGUCGUAUUCCUAAAUUAACUACAAGCUCCUUGAAAUAGAUUUUUCAAGAAUUCUAACAUCUUUCGGACAAAGGUGACACUGUGUAUAAAUUUAAUGUAUUGAGCAUCCAGAAAUGGUUUGGUCUUUGAGAGGAACCUCAUGAGGCCGCAUCCUGUAGAUAUUUGAUGGGGAUGGGUCAUGAUGGUGGUUCUCAACUGGGGCGGGGUCAUUCCCCUUCGUCCCGGGAGCAUGUGGCAACGUAUGGAGACCUUUUUGAUUGAUAUAAUUGGGAUGGGGAGUGGGAUGCUACUGGCAUCUAGUCGAUAGCGGCCAAGGGAUUCUGCUCAAUAUCCUGUAAUGCACAAAACAGCCCUUCACAACAAAAUUAUAUGACCAAAAUGUCUAGAGUGCUAAGGUUGAGAAACCAUGGUUCAUGGUAACUCCAAAAGGUGAACCCCAGUGGAGACCAGUAGGGCGGUUGCUCCAGGGCUACUCAGAGGCCUCAGGGCCACACUCAGAAACCUACCCUGUCAUCCACCACCUGGGUAUUUUUUUUAACUCAAAAAAAUGUCACCUUACUCGUCUUCUUAGGAUGGUUCUAGGAUCUAAAGCCAGGACAUCCAUCUGCAAUGAAAUACAACCUUCAGAUGUCUGGCUGCUCUAUGCUGGCAACAGGGAUGCUCAGCGGAGCCGAGAGUAGAGCGUAAGGAGUUAGUUACAUGAGUCACAUGCCGCCUGAUGAACCCAGGUCUACCAGGACUUGGGCUCUACUGGGAGGGCACUGCCAGUGCUCACCUGGGUGGUACUACCUCUUCUAAGUUUCUGCUGGUAACCAAGGUUCUUGUGACCAGUCUUCUUGCUUUGGAUGUGUUAAUGUUUGCCUGACUUCCACCUGGAGUCAGAGCCCACCUAAAAUGAUUGCAUUGCUUGGCUCUUAUCCAUUUAUUAUGUUUAUAUUUUAUAGUUUAAUACAGGAAUUCCCUGAUCUGAGAGCAGAGGGAGUGAUUUUGAGAAGCCACCUAAUCCAUGAGUGUCUAGAGUAUCUGUAAGCAAACAUAGUACAUGCUAAUCUGGUACCACUGUUUGUCAAAAAUAUUCAUAUGAUGUGGCAAUUUAAAGAGUAGUCAUAAUUCCUAAUAGUUUGUUGUCAAUAUGUAUUUCUUGGUCACAAACACUAAAAGUAUAAAUAUGAUCAUGUGGAAAUGGGUCUGGAAAAUAUUUUGAGGAUAAAAGCAGGAUUUAGGCCAGGUGCAGUGGCUCACGCCUGUAAUCCCAGCACUUUGGGAGAACGAGGUGUGAGGCUCACUUGAGCUCAAGAGAUCAAGACCAGCCUGGGCAACAUGGUGAAACCCCAUUUCUACAAAAAAUACAAAAAUUAUCCAGGCAUGGUGGCGGCCGCUUGCAAUCCCAGCUACUCGGGAGGCUGAGGUGAAAGGAUGGCUUGAGCCCAGGAGACGGACGUUGCAGUGAACUGAGAUCACACCACUGCACUCCAGUCUGGGCGACAGAAUGAGACCCUGUCUCAAAAAAAGAAAAAAGAAAAAGAAAGAAAGAAAAAGAAAAAAGGAGGAUUUACACUGGAAAAAGUUGGGAACCACUGGUUUGACUCUCAGAAGGUUAACUUUCAUAUUUCCUAGUUCUCGAGCAGGGAAGCCCAGCACCCCGGGGUUGCCGCCCCCACCCCCCAUGGCAUGUGUCUGCUUGCUCUACCCCAGGGACAAUCUUAACUCCUUGUAUUGGUGUGCUUUACCGUUUCCAAAACAUUAAGGAAGGCAGAACAGAGGCUACCACUUCUAUUCAGGGAUGAGGAUGGGACUUGGGCAGCUGAUUUGUCUCAGGGUCUAUGGCCAGCACAGCUGGAGCCAGGGCCCCAAACUCUGACGUGGGACCCAGAGCUCUUUCCACUCCCCCGAAUUAGUAAUGGAGCCCUUGGGGGGUCUCGGAGCCACCAAAUACCAAACUCUACUCCACAGCAACUAGUGGAUGAAGAGAGCCAGGAAGUAUUUAAGAGCUUUCAGGAACUAGUCAUUUUACGUCCUUCUGAAUCCCAGUUAGUUCAUGAGAAUUUCACGAAGGUAAAGGCGACAGAAAGCAAUGAACAAGCCCACGUUCGGUUGCCAUGGAAACCCGUGUUUACCUUUGGGUUCAUAUUUGGUACAAUUUCCUGAAAUUCCCAAUGAGGAUUUCAGGUGAUCUGGGGGUUCUCUGAACCUCAGUCUCUAAAUCUGAAAAGUAAAAAAACACUGAACCAGAUUAUGUAUUUCUGGGUAAUUUUACCUUUGACAUUCUAUUAGUCUAAAGAACCAGAUUAUAUAUUUCUGGGUAAUUUUCCCUUUGACAUUCUAUUAGUCUAAAUCUGUGGGUUCUAUCAGCGUCAUCAGAGGGAGAACUCUGUAAAACAAUGUUUUCUCUUUUUUCAAGAGACAUCUAUUCGUUCAUUCAUGUGUUGAUUCAACAAGCAUUGAUUGCAUAUAAGGCACUGUACUAGGCUCUGUGCAGAUUAUAGGCUUGAAAACAGAAAAAGCCCAUUGAAUACGCCCAUGUAGCUAACCUCUAUAAGGAAAUCAAGAAAAACAAGAAAGUCAUUAUGACUAGCUUACCUUUGAUGCUUUAAACCACUUCUGAUAAAAAGUUAAGGACUUUUAUAUU
rnacentral:lncRNA from 1 species